UACAGGGGGUGCAAACGUUGCUCGGAAUCAUUGGGCGUAAAGCGCACGUAGGCGGUUCGUUAUGUCGGAUGUGAAAGCCCUGGGCUCAACCUAGGAAGUGCAUUCGAAACUGCGGAGCUGGAGUCCUGGAGAGGAUAGCGGAAUUCUCGGUGUAGAGGUGAAAUUCGUAGAUAUCGAGAGGAACACCGGUGGCGAAGGCGGCUAUCUGGACAGUGACUGACGCUGAGACGCGAAAGCGUGGGGAGCAAACAGG
rnacentral:rRNA from 1 species